rnacentral:tRNA from 754 species
GCACCCGUAGCUCAGCUGGAUAGAGCACCAGACUACGAAUCUGGGGGUCAGGAGUUCGAAUCUCUUCGGGUGCGCCA